UCGAUUUGGAGUUUGUUGCCCUGAGUGAUGGGCUCCGAAGCUAACGCGAUAAAUCGACCGCCUGGGGAGUACGGCCGCAAGGUUAAAACUCAAAUGAAUUGACGGGGGCCCGCACAAGCGGUGGAGCAUGUGGUUUAAUUCGAUGCAACGCGAAGAACCUUACCUGGUCUUGACAUCCACAGAAUCUUGCAGGGAUGCGAGAGUGCCUUCGGGAACUGUGAGACAGGUGCUGCAUGGCUGUCGUCAGCUCGUGUUGUGAAAUGUUGGGUUAAGUCCCGCAACGAGCGCAACCCUUAUCCUUUGUUGCCAGCGGUUAGGCCGGGAACUCAAAGGAGACUGCCAGUGAUAAACUGGAGGAAGGUGGGGAUGACGUCAAGUCAUCAUGGCCCUUACGACCAGGGCUACACACGUGCUACAAUGGCAUAUACAAAGAGAAGCGACCUCGCGAGAGCAAGCGGACCUCAUAAAGUAUGUCGUAGUCCGGAUUGGAGUCUGCAACUCGACUCCAUGAAGUCGGAAUCGCUAGUAAUCGUAGAUCAGAAUGCUACGGUGAAUACGUUCCCGGGCCU
rnacentral:rRNA from 1 species